rnacentral:rRNA from 1 species
GACGAACGCUGGCGGCGUGGUUAACACAUGCAAGUCGAACGGAAAGGCCCUGCUUGCAGGGUGCUCGAGUGGCGAACGGGUGAGUAACACGUGGGUGAUCUGCCCCUUACUUUGGGAUAAGCCUGGGAAACUGGGUCUAAUACUGGAUAGGACCAUGCUGUAGGUGGUGUGGUGGAAAGAUUAGUUUCGGUAAGGGAUGAGCUCGCGGCCUAUCAGCUUGUUGGUGGGGUAAUGGCCUACCAAGGCGUCGACGGGUAGCCGGCCUGAGAGGGUGGACGGCCACAUUGGGACUGAGAUACGGCCCAGACUCCUACGGGAGGCAGCAGUGGGGAAUAUUGCACAAUGGGCGCAAGCCUGAUGCAGCGACGCCGCGUGGGGGAUGACGGCCUUCGGGUUGUAAACUCCUUUCAGCCAUGACGAAGCCCUUGUGGUGACGGUAGUGGUAGAAGAAGCACCGGCUAACUACGU